AGGGAGAAUGAUUCGUUUUUCUUCCACCUUCUUAGGCACCUCAGGAACUUGAGAGACAUUGAUUAUUUUAGACACUUAAAAUGCAAGAACCAAAGAAGAAUAAAGACCAAGUUUCCAGUUUCCAACAUAAGAGAGUAAAUAUCACAAGGCACAUACACAAGAUGAAACACUGACAUUUCACAGAAUCGGUUAAUGAGAAAAGAAUAAAAAGGCACUUUAAAGACAUCAUUUCAUGAUAAAGAUUUAUUUUGAAGGACAAAAAAAGAGAAACCAAGAAGACCCCACACCCAGAAAGACCAAUGUGUAACAGUCGCUCAAGACAGCAACAACAGGACAAGUACGAGGCAAAAAACGAUUAUAAUAGCUGAGUUCACAAGAACAGAAGAAUUUGAAGAUGAGUUUCACAAAUAGCAGAG